rnacentral:tRNA from 1 species
GACUAAUAAACAAACAAGUUUCGGCCUUGUUAUAGCUUUGGCAUUAGUUA